CCUUCUUUUCUUGGAGGGUGUUGGGUGUGAAGUCCCGGUUCCUGGAAUGUACAGAGGCAGAGGGAAGGGGCUCCUGACCCCUCAGUGUCAUGUCUUUGGUGCAGAUGGUUUCUUGUCCACUGGUUCCAUCCUCAAGUACUGGGACAAAG